CAUGGACACUGUGCUUAUAGUGAAGAAUGGGGGCACCGAAGCAACAAGCAUCCGCCCACCCCCUUCCUAUAUGCCUCCUUGUUCCAAGUCCUAGAUGUGAUGCUACGCCUCAAUCUUUCAUUUAGAAGUCUUUCAGGAAUGUCUCGAAUUAGUUUUAGUAGCUAUAGUCAUAUAAUUCACCUUAUAAACUCAAGUUGAGUCUUUAUUUCUUAAA
rnacentral:misc_RNA from 1 species